GACGAACGCUGGCGGCGUGCUUAACACAUGCAAGUCGAACGGAAAGGCCCUGCUUUUGUGGGGUGCUCGAGUGGCGAACGGGUGAGUAACACGUGAGUAACCUGCCCUUGACUUUGGGAUAACUUCAGGAAACUGGGGCUAAUACCGGAUAGGAGCUCCUGCUGCAUGGUGGGGGUUGGAAAGUUUCGGCGGUUGGGGAUGGACUCGCGGCUUAUCAGCUUGUUGGUUGGGUAGUGGCUUACCAAGGCUUUGACGGGUAGCCGGCCUGAGAGGGUGACCGGCCACAUUGGGACUGAGAUACGGCCCAGACUCCUACGGGAGGCAGCAGUGGGGAAUAUUGUACAAUGGGCGGAAGCCUGAUGCAGCAACGCCGCGUGCGGGAUGACGGCCUGCGGGUUGUAAACCGCUUUCGCCUGUGCCGAAGCGUGAGUGACGGUAAUGGGUAAAGAAGCACCGGCUAACUACGUG
rnacentral:rRNA from 1 species